rnacentral:tRNA from 1 species
GUCUCUGUCGUAUAGGUGGUCAGUACGUUACAUUGUGGUGAAUCUACAAUUCUGUGGAGACAGCUGUUCGAGUCAGCUCAGGGACA